UUAAAAUAGUAUCAGUCAGAAGAACUUUCUGCUUCCCUUUUCUCUCCUGCCUCUAGUGCUCCAACAAAGAGGGGUCAGCAACAGCAGCUGAGAAUGUGAGAGGAGUGAACAAACAUGAAAGAAGCAGCUCACCACAUUGUGUUUUGCCAAGUCCGGUGGCCUGCCCACAGUUACGACCUAACUGCGGAAAGUAUGUUGUAUAUGAGAAAUCAUCAAGCAAACCAAUCUGAAGAAAAAUUAAUAAAAAUCAAGGUUAUUCUUUGACAAGAUUUCUGCAUGGGAAAUGUUGAGCAUUUUCAUCGGGAAGCACAGAGGUGUGUGCUGAUCAGCGUUCCACAACCAGCUCUAUAUAAAGGAAAAAGUCCUGAUUUGGAGUAUUUGCAAAUUUCUGUGGUAUAAACAUUCCCACCAUGGUUGCUUUCAAGCUCCUACCAUGAUGCCCCUGAAGGGAACAAAACCUGACAAGGAAAGCUUGACACCAAGUUGGCUCACACUAGGGAGCAGAAAGACUUUAGUUUUGGAUCCUUGGGCACAUGAUUACAGAAAGACCAGAGAGUUAAAAUGAGCAUAAUCAGUCCAAAAGUCAGGGAAAUGAAGUGACUUACCCAAACUGCAAUUACUGCUAAGUGGCAGACUGAGUACACCUCCUUUUGGAUUCUUCAGCUUCACUGGAAUAGAACAUAAUUUGGAUAUGUAAAUAAUCUCUAUGAAAAUAUUGUUCAAAAGAUGCAAAAAUUUACCACAGGUUUCAGAGUUUCUGUUUUCAUGUAAAGAAGUAACUAAUGAUUUUAUGUUGAGUGUGAGCGAUACCUUGUUCUCUGUCUUGGUAACUUUAAACAAAUUAUUAGAUUAUUAGUUACUAUCAAACUCAUUUUUGUUUUAUUUACAUUUGUAAUGUGAUUUUAUUGUAAAAACUUUUUGAAAAUAGAGAUAAACCAAAAUAAAGAUUAUCUAACUCCCCAAUUCUUUACCAGAGAAAUAACUGAUAAGGGCUGGGGAUGUGGCUCAAGCGGUAGCGCGCUCGCCUGGCAUGCGUGUGGCCCGGAUUCGAUCCUCAGCAGCACAUACAAACAAAGAUGUUGUGUCCACCGAAAAACUAAAAAAUAAAUAUUAAAAAAAAAUUCUCUCUCUCUUAAAAAUAAAAAAAGAAAGAAAGAAAUCACUGAUAAGCUUUAAUGUAUCUUUCUAGUUUUUUUUUUCUUUGUUGUUGCUGUUGGGUACAGAGAUUGAACCCAGAGCCUCUUAACCACUGAACCACAUCCCCAGCACUUUUUUUUUUUAACCACAUCCCCAGCACUUUUUUUUUUUUUUUAAAU